rnacentral:rRNA from 1 species
GCAGCUAACGCAUUAAGCACUCCGCCUGGGGAGUACGACCGCAAGGUUGAAACUCACAGGAAUUGACGGGGGCCCGCACAAGCGGUGGAGCAUGUGGUNUAAUUCGAAGCAACGCGAAGAACCUUACCAGGUCUUGACAUCCAGUGCAAACCUAAGAGAUUAGGUGUUCCCUUCGGGGACGCUGAGACAGGUGGUGCAUGGCUGUCGUCAGCUCGUGUCGUGAGAUGUUGGGUUAAGUCCCGCAACGAGCGCAACCCUUGUCAUUAGUUGCCAUCAUUAAGUUGGGCACUCUAAUGAGACUGCCGGUGACAAACCGGAGGAAGGUGGGGAUGACGUCAAGUCAUCAUGCCCCUUAUGACCUGGGCUACACACGUGCUACAAUGGACGGUACAACGAGAAGCGAACCUGCGAAGGCAAGCGGAUCUCUUAAAGCCGUUCUCAGUUCGGACUGUAGGCUGCAACUCGCCUACACGAAGCUGGAAUCGCUAGUAAUCGCGGAUCAGCACGCCGCGGUGAAUACGUUCCCGGGCCUUGUACACACCGCCCGUCACACCAUGAGAGUCUGUAACACCCAAAGCCGGUGGGAUAACCUUUAUAGGAGUCAGCCGUCUAAGGUAGGACAGAUGAUUAGGGUGAAGUCGUAACAAGGUAGCCGU